rnacentral:rRNA from 2 species
GUGGUAAUUCUAGAGCUAAUACAUGCUAAAAACCCCGACUUCGGAAGGGGUGUAUUUAUUAGAUAAAAAACCAAUGCCCUUCGGGGCUCCUUGGUGAUUCAUAAUAACUUAACGAAUCGCAUGGCCUUGCGCCGGCGAUGGUUCAUUCAAAUUUCUGCCCUAUCAACUUUCGAUGGUAGGAUAUUGGCCUACCAUGGUUUCAACGGGUAACGGGGAAUUAGGGUUCUAUUCCGGAGAGGGAGCCUGAGAAACGGCUACCACAUCCAAGGAAGGCAGCAGGCGCGCAAAUUACCCAAUCCCGACACGGGGAGGUAGUGACAAUAAAUACUGAUACAGGGCUCUUUUGGGUCUUGUAAUUGGAAUGAGUACAAUUUAAAUCCCUUAACGAGGAACAAUUGGAGGGCAAGUCUGGUGCCAGCAGCCGCGGUAAUUCCAGCUCCAAUAGCGUAUAUUAAAGUUGUUGCAGUUAAAAAGCUCGUAGUUGAACCUUGGGCCUGGCUGGCCGGUCCGCCUCACCGCGUGCACUGGUCCGGCCGGGUCUUUCCUUCUGGGGAGCCCCAUGCCCUUCACUGGGUGUGUCGGGGAACCAGGACUUUUACUUUGAAAAAAUUAGAGUGUUCAAAGCAGGCCUUUGCUCGAAUACAUUAGCAUGGAAUAAUAGAAUAGGACGUGUGGUUCUAUUUUGUUGGUUUCUAGGACCGCCGUAAUGAUUAAUAGGGAUAGUCGGGGGCAUCAGUAUUCAAUUGUCAGAGGUGAAAUUCUUGGAUUUAUUGAAGACUAACUACUGCGAAAGCAUUUGCCAAGGAUGUUUUCAUUAAUCAGCGAACGAAAGUUAGGGGAUCGAAGACGAUCAGAUACCGUCGUAGUCUUAACCAUAAACUAUGCCGACUAGGGAUCGGGCGAUGUUAUUUUUUUGACUCGCUCGGCACCUUACGAGAAAUCAAAGUUUUUGGGUUCUGGGGGGAGUAUGGUCGCAAGGCUGAAACUUAAAGAAAUUGACGGAAGGGCACCACCAGGAGUGGAGCCUGCGGCUUAAUUUGACUCAACACGGGGAAACUCACCAGGUCCAGACACAAUAAGGAUUGACAGAUUGAGAGCUCUUUCUUGAUUUUGUGGGUGGU